rnacentral:rRNA from 1 species
AUGCAUGAGCCUGCAUGGAAGGAGCGGUGGCGGUUCGUCCAGUUGGCGAGAAGGGGGUGGCCGUGGCGGAGAGCUGGCUGGGAGUGCGGUGGCCCACCACAGGAGAUGGGGGGGACAGCGCGCAGGUGGGGGGCUCGGGUUCCGCAUGAGCAUGCAACGGUGGAGGGGAAGGCACGUGGCCAGGGGUGUCGGGAUUCGGCAGGAGCGGCUCGCGCGGCAGCACUUGGGCGGGGAUGGCAGCCGAGGCCUGGUUGGCGGCCUCGGGAUCCUACAAGUGGGCCUCGCAUGGCAGCACCAGAGGGGGCGAGGCAGCCGUCAUCUGAUUGGCGGCCACGGGAUCCGCCCGAUCCGCUGACGGCCGGGCUGUCGGGAGAGGCGAGGCGGGGGUGUCGACAUCCCUGGCGCUUGCCAGGAGAGGGGCCCCGGAAGGCUCGCGAACAGGACUCGCAUGAGGGGAGGCCUCGUCAGGGUCGUGGUGGGGCCUGA